CUCUGUUACUAUUAGUAGGCGUUAAUAAAUUAUGAAAUUAUUUAUGGCAUAAUUAAACAUUAUUUGUUUAAUUUACAACAUUGCAAUUUGAAACCUGUUGUGUGAUGCCUAGUCUUUGCCAUAAAGGUAUUGCAAUAUUUUAACAAAAGACAUUACCUUUGACUGUACAUACCCUGCCCUGAAACUGAAACUAAAACAGAGGUGGACUUGUCAUAUGUGUAUCCAGUGACACCCCCAGUAACGGAAUAUAAUUGCAAUAAGUAAUGUAUUAUGUUCGAUGUCUCACAUUUAUAGCACACCGUUGAAAACAUAAAUAAGGAAUAAAUGAAACGUGAAAUGAACGAGUUAAAGUUUGAUAAAGCAGCAUUGAUAAAUAAUGUUAAGCAUUCCCAGGAGUGGGAGCCGCCAUAUUGGGGAUGAACAUUAAUAGUACGACGUAUCGACCCAUUCCACGCAAAUUAACAUAUUUUUGUGUGUGUUACGAUGUGCCGUUACAGUGAACCUUUCCAAAGUUUGGCUAUUGGUGUGCUUUGCUAAUGGCAAUGGUAACAGCACAUUUGUUUCAUUGUUGAUAGCCCAAUAACAAUGUUCAUACGCAUUAGGGGUUAUCAUAAGCCCACAUGUAAUAUAAAUUAAAAAGACAUAACUUAAUUGGUCACUAUUCUUUUCCCGUUCUUUCCAAAUGGCCACAUUAUCUAAAUGGGUGGUAAGUGAGAGAUUCUGCAUGGUUUCAGAGAUUAUUUUUUUCUUUCUGUCAACAUUUGUUUUUUAAGCUUCUACUGUCCAUCCAAAACAUUAUGAUUUUUGCUGAGAUAUUAACACAGUAAAUCAAGUUUAUUUUUGUAUCAAUUAUGGUGAAAUGAAGACGUGUUGUAACAUGUUGCCACAGGUGAUAGUCAAACAAUUUACAGUAAGAGGUUUUGACAUGGAUUCAAUUCUGUACAUAUCUUCAAGGAGCCAUAAUCUUUAGUCACAUUAAAAGCCCAAACAGUAUUUGUUUGACAGAAAACAUUACUAUUUGGAAGGAAGACCUAAAGUUAUACACCUACCUUUACCACCAUGUGACAGAACAUUCCUUACUAUUGAAUUGUACUGUUACAUAUUCAAAUCCAAACCACCUGCAUUCCUUGAUUCAGUUUCACAAUAUUAGGGUAACUACGGCUCCUGCUUGUGGAAUACCCCCUCCAUUUUGUUAAGGUAACAGACAUUAUUAAAAACAAAAAUGUUAACACCCUCAAACUAUUUUCUUCUAUUGGACUGACUCACUCAAGCAGAUAAACUGUAUAUUGUCACCUGCCCAUCCAGCAGUAUUAAGGCUGUAAAUCCCCCAUAUAACUAUUUUCACACGAAUAGGGCCACAUUGAAACACGCUGAUAUUUACUUUGGUAUAAUUACUUAAAUGUGUGGUCCUCAAAUACAGGUUAACCCUGGUUUUUCAAAGUAAUCUAUAGAAUAAAAGAAAACACUAUACUCUAUUCAGGUCAAAACAGUAGUAGCAUUAUAGAGCUACUUGACUGUUAAGAGUACAAAAAAAACUAAAGGGCUCAUACUCUAGUGGCCAAAUGAGGUUUUACCUAGGCGUCUGCAAUCUGGGUCUAAAUAUAAUACCGAAAUAUCAAAACCACUAAUGUGACCAAAGAAAUGCAAAAGCAAACACAGGAAUGACAAAAAACUGAUUGAUGAUUAUGAAAUGCUUUUGAAUGCAUUUACCUAUUCUUUGUUUGGUUUAUCAACAUACAUAACCAAUGUCUGCAUGUAUUUCAACCUGUCUAGUAUGCCCUGCAUAAGAUGCAUUUGUUCCAUUUUACAAAAUAAAUUGCCUAUGCUUUAGGAGGCAGACACAAAAAUCACAUGAUAAGAAUGUGACAAGUUGAAAAUGUCUAAAAAGCCUUAGGGCCUUUCCAUUCACCACAGGUUCUGUCUGACCUCUACUCAUGUGGCUGUGUCUUCUUUUCAUUUUGGAUUAAAACAACACAAACAAAAUACAAAGCUGCAACCAAUAAUAUGAAUAAUUCCAAGUGGGCAACAGUUGUACUACAUAAUACAAACAUAAUACAGACAAAACAAGUAGAGCUUAGGGUCACAUCCUGCCUUUUAUGUAUUAACAAGACCUCUAAAAAUGCAAUUUUAGUCCAAACAAAUUAAGAUUAACCCAGUAAAAUGGAAGGAAUAUUAAGUAGAUAAACCUGUGUUAGGUUUAAGUGUCAUCACAAGUGGUCAUCAGAUGUGAUGCUGUCUUUUCUAUCUCUCUCUUUACUCCUCAUAUACCAGUAUACACAGACAGAUAAUCCCACAGUAAGGAGUGACAGCUUUUAAUAGCGACUAGAACAGAUUUCUAAAGCUGAACGUGUUAUUAAUUACUAACCAUUAUUUAAUGUAGAAUGUAUAUCUAUACUGAACCAAUAAGUCACUAUGGUGGCCAACCACAUCUAUAUUCAUAUGUUAGCUUUAUUUAAAUAGCAUUAGUUAAUUAUGUUACAUUAUUUGUUUCUGACCAGUACAAAUAGUUUAUUACUUGAUCAUUGGAAGAAAAAUACAUGCACAUACACAAACCACACAGCUCAAGAAAGCUCUGUGCAUGGCCUCUAGUUUGGUUUCAUCCACCGGAAAAAUGAAGCGAUUAAGGUGGAUUAUAUUUUCCAUGUUUAUGUCAUUCAAAUCAGGAAUGAGGACUCCCUGCUCACGAUGCAAAGCCUCUCUAAAAUGUCCUUUAGCAUCCCAGAUUCCCGGAGGUUUUGGCCCCUGUCUGCGUGCAUUAUGAAUUCUGGUCUCUUGAUGGCUUAGCUGUGUUUGAACACUUUUAUGCUCCAGAGCCAAGGGCUGACAUUUCUAUCCUGUUUCAAAAACCAGUUGCUAAAAAUACAGAUUUUGCUGUGUGAUUUUCUAAAUAAUAGAUUACUUAAUGUAAUAAGGCAAAUUUUGAGCUAAAAACUUUUUAAAGCAAACUAUAACUCAUGCAAUCAGACUUGAUGUGGAAAAACGGUUAUUAUCAACAUUCAACUAUCAAUCUCACACCGAAAAAAUCUGUUAUCUUAAUUGUGCUUGCUAGGCCAUUAUAGUAAACAUAGCUUUUGUGGUAUAUACAUAUGAGGUGUGAAAACUGUGUGAUAAGCCAACAAAUGUUCCUCCUUGAAGUGAUCACAGAUCCAUGUUUUUUUGACUAACAUAAUUGUCAUUAUCUGUUCCACGUUAAUGCCAUGGAAUGCUACUAAUGCUGCUUAUCUUAUAACUUAUAACUGCAUGGAAAAUAUCUCACUGUGACUGGUUCCUAACCUGUUGACACAUUUUCAUCAGUAUGCCAAACACCAACCCAUGUCAACCCCAAGGCUGUGGAUUAAUUUGUCAUACAAUC